GACGAACGCUGGCGGCGUGCUUAACACAUGCAAGUCGAACGGAAAGGCCCUGCUUGCAGGGUACUCGAGUGGCGAACGGGUGAGUAACACGUGGGUGAUCUGCCCUGCACCUCGGGAUAAGCCUGGGAAACUGGGUCUAAUACCGGAUAGGAGCCAGUUUUAGUGUGAUGGUUGGAAAGUUUUUUCGGUGUAGGAUGAGCUCGCGGCGUAUCAGCUUGUCGGUGGGGUAAUGGACUACCAGGGAGCCAACAGGAAGCCGGCCGGAGAGGGUGGACGACGACAUUGGGGCCGAGAUACGAAGCAAACUCGGAAGAGAGGCAGCAGUAGGGAAUAGUGGCCAAUAGGCACAUGCCUGAUGCAGUGACGUCACGUGAGGGAUGACGGCCUUCGGGAUGAAAACUGUUUUCGAUAGAGACGAAGCAUUCUGUGGCGGUACCUAGAGAAGAAACACCGGCUAACUACGUG
rnacentral:rRNA from 1 species